rnacentral:rRNA from 1 species
CCUACGGGGGGCAGCAGUGGGGAAUUUUGGACAAUGGGCGCAAGCCUGAUCCAGCCAUGCCGCGUGCAGGAUGAAGGCCUUCGGGUUGUAAACUGCUUUUGUACGGAACGAAAGGUUCUGCCCUAAUACGGUGGGAAUAUGACGGUACCGUAAGAAUAAGCACCGGCUAACUACGUGCCAGCAGCCGCGGUAAUACGUAGGGUGCGAGCGUUAAUCGGAAUUACUGGGCGUAAAGCGUGCGCAGGCGGUUAUGUAAGACAGAUGUGAAAUCCCCGGGCUCAACCUGGGAACUGCAUUAGUGACUGCAUAGCUGGAGUACGGCAGAGGGGGAUGGAAUUCCGCGUGUAGCAGUGAAAUGCGUAGAUAUGCGGAGGAACACCGAUGGCGAAGGCAAUCCCCUGGGCCUGUACUGACGCUCAUGCACGAAAGCGUGGGGAGCA